AGUCGAGGGGUAUUUAUCUUCGGAUAGAGAGACCGGCGCACGGGUGCGUAACGCGUAUGCAAUCUACCUUUUACAGAGGGAUAGCCCAGAGAAAUUUGGAUUAAUACCUCAUAGUAUUAUGAAAUGGCAUCAUUUUAUAAUUAAAGUCACAACGGUAAAAGAUGAGCAUGCGUCCCAUUAGCUAGUUGGUAAGGUAACGGCUUACCAAGGCUACGAUGGGUAGGGGUCCUGAGAGGGAGAUCCCCCACACUGGUACUGAGACACGGACCAGACUCCUACGGGAGGCAGCAGUGAGGAAUAUUGGACAAUGGGCGCAAGCCUGAUCCAGCCAUGCCGCGUGCAGGAUGACGGUCCUAUGGAUUGUAAACUGCUUUUAUACGAGAAGAAACACUCCAACGUGUUGGAGCUUGACGGUAUCGUAAGAAUAAGGAUCGGCUAACUCCGUGCCAGCAGCCGCGGUAAUACGGAGGAUCCAAGCGUUAUCCGGAAUCAUUGGGUUUAAAGGGUCCGUAGGCGGUUUAGUAAGUCAGUGGUGAAAGCCCAUCGCUCAACGGUGGAACGGCCAUUGAUACUGCUGAACUUGAAUUAUUAGGAAGUAACUAGAAUAUGUAGUGUAGCGGUGAAAUGCUUANAGAUUACAUGGAAUACCAAUUGCGAAGGCAGGUUACUACUAAUGGAUUGACGCUGAUGGACGAAAGCGUGGGUAGCGAACAGGAUUAGAUACCCUGGUAGUCCACGCCGUAAACGAUGGAUACUAGCUGUUGGGAGCAAUCUCAGUGGCUAA
rnacentral:rRNA from 1 species